rnacentral:rRNA from 1 species
AGGGUUUGAUUAUGGCUCAGGAUGAACGCUAGCUACAGGCUUAACACAUGCAAGUCGAGGGGCAGCGCGGCGGAAGCUUGCUUCCGCUGGCGGCGACCGGCGCACGGGUGCGUAACGCGUAUCCAACUUGCCCUUGUCCCGGGGAUAGCCUCGCGAAAGCGAGAAUAAUACCCGGUGUAGCCACGGUUCCGCAUGGAAUUGUGGCGAUAGGUCCGCCGGACAAGGAUAGGGAUGCGUCCCAUUAGGCAGUAGGCGGGGUAACGGCCCACCUAACCGACGAUGGGUAGGGGUUCUGAGAGGAAGGUCCCCCACAUUGGAACUGAGACACGGUCCAA